UCAGGAUGAACGCUGGCGGCGUGCCUAAUACAUGCAAGUCGAGCGAACGGAUGAGAAGCUUGCUUCUCUGAUGUUAGCGGCGGACGGGUGAGUAACACGUGGAUAACCUACCUAUAAGACUGGGAUAACUUCGGGAAACCGGAGCUAAUACCGGAUAAUAUUUUGAACCGCAUGGUUCAAAAGUGAAAGACGGUCUUGCUGUCACUUAUAGAUGGAUCCGCGCUGCAUUAGCUAGUUGGUAAGGUAACGGCUUACCAAGGCAACGAUGCAUAGCCGACCUGAGAGGGUGAUCGGCCACACUGGAACUGAGACACGGUCCAGACUCCUACGGGAGGCAGCAGUAGGGAAUCUUCCGCAAUGGGCGAAAGCCUGACGGAGCAACGCCGCGUGAGUGAUGAAGGUCUUCGGAUCGUAAAACUCUGUUAUUAGGGAAGAACAUAUGUGUAAGUAACUGUGCACAUCUUGACGGUACCUAAUCAGAAAGCCACGGCUAACUACGUGCCAGCAGCCGCGGUAAUACGUAGGUGGCAAGCGUUAUCCGGAAUUAUUGGGCGUAAAGCGCGCGUAGGCGGUUUUUUAAGUCUGAUGUGAAAGCCCACGGCUCAACCGUGGAGGGUCAUUGGAAACUGGAAAACUUGAGUGCAGAAGAGGAAAGUGGAAUUCCAUGUGUAGCGGUGAAAUGCGCAGAGAUAUGGAGGAACACCAGUGGCGAAGGCGACUUUCUGGUCUGUAACUGACGCUGAUGUGCGAAAGCGUGGGGAUCAAACAGGAUUAGAUACCCUGGUAGUCCACGCCGUAAACGAUGAGUGCUAAGUGUUAGGGGGUUUCCGCCCCUUAGUGCUGCAGCUAACGCAUUAAGCACUCCGCCUGGGGAGUACGACCGCAAGGUUGAAACUCAAAGGAAUUGACGGGGACCCGCACAAGCGGUGGAGCAUGUGGUUUAAUUCGAAGCAACGCGAAGAACCUUACCAAAUCUUGACAUCCUUUGACAACUCUAGAGAUAGAGCCUUCCCCUUCGGGGGACAAAGUGA
rnacentral:rRNA from 1 species